CGGGGAGUGGCGCAGUGGUAGCGUUCCUGCUUUGGGUGCAGGCGGUCGGGAGUUCAAAUCUCCCCUCCCCGACCA
rnacentral:tRNA from 1 species